rnacentral:rRNA from 1 species
UACGAAGGGGGCUAGCGUUGCUCGGAAUCACUGGGCGUAAAGCGCACGUAGGCGGCUUUUUAAGUCAGGGGUGAAAUCCUGGAGCUCAACUCCAGAACUGCCUUUGAUACUGAGAAGCUUGAGUCCGGGAGAGGUGAGUGGAACUGCGAGUGUAGAGGUGAAAUUCGUAGAUAUCGCAAGAACACCAGUGGCGAAAGGCGGCUCACUGGCCCGGUACUGACGCUGAGGUGCGAAAGCGUGGGGAGCAAACAGG